UACGUAGGGUGCGAGCGUUAAUCGGAACUACUGGGCGUAAAGCGUGCGCAGGCGGUUUUGUAAGUCAGGUGUGAAAUCCCCGGGCUUAACCUGGGAACUGCGUUUGAAACUACAAGGCUAGAGUGUGGCAGAGGGGGGUGGAAUUCCACGUGUAGCAGUGAAAUGCGUAGAGAUGUGGAGGAACACCGAUGGCGAAGGCAGCCCCCUGGGUCAACACUGACGCUCAGGCACGAAAGCGUGGGGAGCAAACAGG
rnacentral:rRNA from 1 species